UACGAAGUGGGCGAGCGUUGUCCGGAAUUAUUGGGCGUAAAGGGCUCGUAGGCGGUCUGUCGCGUCGGGAGUGAAAACUCGGGGCUUAACUCCGAGCCUGCUUCUGAUACGGGCAGACUAGAGGUAUGCAGGGGAGAAUGGAAUUCCUGGUGUAGCGGUGAAAUGCGCAGAUAUCAGGAGGAACACCGGUGGCGAAGGCGGUUCUCUGGGCAUGACCUGACGCUGAGGAGCGAAAGUGUGGGGAGCGAACAGG
rnacentral:rRNA from 1 species